AUCAUGGCUCAGAUUGAACGCUGGCGGCAGGCCUAACACAUGCAAGUCGAACGGUAACAGGAAGCAGCUUGCUGCUUUGCUGACGAGUGGCGGACGGGUGAGUAAUGUCUGGGAAACUGCCUGAUGGAGGGGGAUAACUACUGGAAACGGUGGCUAAUACCGCAUAACGUCGCAAGACCAAAGAGGGGGACCUUCGGGCCUCUUGCCAUCAGAUGUGCCCAGAUGGGAUUAGCUUGUUGGUGAGGUAACGGCUCACCAAGGCGACGAUCCCUAGCUGGUCUGAGAGGAUGACCAGCCACACUGGAACUGAGACACGGUCCAGACUCCUACGGGAGGCAGCAGUGGGGAAUAUUGCACAAUGGGCGCAAGCCUGAUGCAGCCAUGCCGCGUGUAUGAAGAAGGCCUUCGGGUUGUAAAGUACUUUCAGCGGGGAGGAAGGUGUUGUGGUUAAUAACCGCAGCAAUUGACGUUACCCGCAGAAGAAGCACCGGCUAACUCCGUGCCAGCAGCCGCGGUAAUACGGAGGGUGCAAGCGUUAAUCGGAAUUACUGGGCGUAAAGCGCACGCAGGCGGUCUGUCAAGUCGGAUGUGAAAUCCCCGGGCUCAACCUGGGAACUGCAUUCGAAACUGGCAGGCUUGAGUCUUGUAGAGGGGGGUAGAAUUCCAGGUGUAGCGGUGAAAUGCGUAGAGAUCUGGAGGAAUACCGGUGGCGAAGGCGGCCCCCUGGACAAAGACUGACGCUCAGGUGCGAAAGCGUGGGGAGCAAACAGGAUUAGAUACCCUGGUAGUCCACGCCGUAAACGAUGUCUACUUGGAGGUUGUGCCCUUGAGGCGUGGCUUCCGGAGCUAACGCGUUAAGUAGACCGCCUGGGGAGUACGGCCGCAAGGUUAAAACUCAAAUGAAUUGACGGGGGCCCGCACAAGCGGUGGAGCAUGUGGUUUAAUUCGAUGCAACGCGAAGAACCUUACCUGGUCUUGACAUCCACAGAACUUUCCAGAGAUGGAUUGGUGCCUUCGGGAACUGUGAGACAGGUGCUGCAUGGCUGUCGUCAGCUCGUGUUGUGAAAUGUUGGGUUAAGUCCCGCAACGAGCGCAACCCUUAUCCUUUGUUGCCAGCGAUUAGGUCGGGAACUCAAAGGAGACUGCCAGUGAUAAACUGGAGGAAGGUGGGGAUGACGUCAAGUCAUCAUGGCCCUUACGACCAGGGCUACACACGUGCUACAAUGGCGCAUACAAAGAGAAGCGACCUCGCGAGAGCAAGCGGACCUCAUAAAGUGCGUCGUAGUCCGGAUUGGAGUCUGCAACUCGACUCCAUGAAGUCGGAAUCGCUAGUAAUCGUGGAUCAGAAUGCCACGGUGAAUACGUUCCCGGGCCUUGUACACACCGCCCGUCACACCAUGGGAGUGGGUUGCAAAAGAAGUAGGUAGCUUAACCUUCGGGAGGGCGCUUACCACUUUGUGAUUCAUGACUGGGGUGAAGUCGUAACAAGGUAACCGUAGGGGAACCUGCGGUUGGA
rnacentral:rRNA from 1 species